UACGGAGGGUGCGAGCGUUGUCCGGAAUCACUGGGCGUAAAGGGCGCGUAGGCGGCCUGAUAAGUAGGGGGUGAAAUCUUGCGGCUUAACCGCAGGGCUGCCUUCUAAACUGUCAGGCUAGAGCACAGUAGAGGCAGGUGGAAUUCCGGGUGUAGUGGUGGAAUGCGUAGAGAUCCGGAGGAACACCAGCGGCGAAGGCGGCAUCCUGGACUGGUCCUGACACUCAGGAGCGAAAGCGUGGGGAGCGAUCCGG
rnacentral:rRNA from 1 species